AACAUGUGUGAUCUAUCUUUGACAGGUGUAAGAGCCGUCAAGCCUAAAGUCAGUGCUGAUGUUGGCUGUAUCGUCUGUGAGUUUAUCAUGACCACAGUGGAUUCUCUCAUCUCUGCAAACAGUUCACAGGCGGAGGUUGAAGCAGCGCUGGAGAAGGUGUGCACUCUAUUGCCAGCAACCAUCAGUGCCGAGUGUAGCCAGUUUGUCGAGGAAUAUGGUCCAGCUGUCAUCAACUUACUGGUCAAUAAACUGGACCCCAAGAGUAUCUGCACAACGCUACGUCUGUGUACAAGCAGCAAGGGUGUUAAAGUCUCAAAGAGUCCAUCAUUCACACCAAAGACCAAGGUAUCUGCAGGCCCUGAAUGUGUAAUAUGCGAGUUUGUUAUGCGUGAAGUCGACACUCUCCUUGGUGACAACAAGACACAGGCUGCUGUAGAGGCAGCUUUGGACAAAGUAUGUAGCCUGCUGCCAAGUACCGUGAUCGCAGGAGUGCAACCGACUUUGUCAAUACAUAUAGCCAGCCAUCAUACAGCUCCUUCUCCAAGAACUUGAUGCCAGUGUGGUUUGCAGUGCCCUUGGCUUGUGCUCACAGAGAAGAAACAAAAUAGUGCCCCUGAAGGUGAAUGAUGAAAUCUGUGACCUGUGUGUGACCGUGAUGAACUACGCUGAUGCACUGCUGAAGGAAAAUGCUACCGUGCAGGAUGCGAGAUGGUCUUGGACAAAGUUUGCAACUUUCUGUCUGCUCAGAUGACAAACCAGUGUUUGGCCUUCGUUGACCAGUACGCACCACUUGUCCUUGACAUCUUCUUGCCAGCGACAUUGACCCCAGGCAAAUCUGCAAGACCAUAGGCUUGUGUCCAACCAGCCAGAAGGGUGUCCAGAACAAGCUACACAAGUUGUUGGGGCAGGGCAAGUGCUCAUAUGGACCAAGCUUCUGGUGUGCCAGCAAAGAUAAUGCCAUACAGUGCAAGGCCAUGGAGCACUGCCAGAAACAUGUCUGGAACUAGACACAAGCCAGGAUCAGGAACACAGCGAAAAGUGAAAUUCAAGCUCAGAAAAUUAUACUCACUUCAAUACUUUUAUUUUGUAUUAAACUAACUAUUGCUUAACAUUGGAUGCUAUGUACUGUUGUGUUUCCUAGAACAUGUGGAAAGUGGACCAAUCCAGGAGAUUAUUAGACCCCUAGAUACAUACUUUUACUUCACAUUAAGUGCUAGAUCUUCCCUUGUAUCAUUGUGUUUCCUAGAACCUGUGGAAAGUGGACAAAUCCAGGAGAUUAUUAGGCACCUAGAUACAUACUUUUACUUUGCAUUAAGUGCUAGAUCUUCCCUUGUAUUAUUCGUCUCAUCACUGUACAAGUGAGAUAGUGGUAAGGACAUACUUUUAGGUGAUCUGAGAAAUGAACCUUUCUUUAUUUAAAUUAUGCUUCAUAUUAUGUAGUUGUAUACGUGGAAUCUUUACUUGAGGGUACCUCUAUAUUUUCAUGGUAAUUUGGUUUGGUAUAAUUCCAGGUUUGUUCUGAAAAGAUUGUCAUAUUUCCUAAUCUUAAAAGUCACACUAAUUGGGUUUUGAAGAUUUGUGAGUUCUAUUUUUAUGAAGUUAAGUUGAACAGGGAUUUUUACAAGAGUGGAAAAUAACUCAAUUAUGUUUCGGUUUGAAUAUUGUUUGACAAUAAAGUCACCUUGUAUUUUUCUGUAUUCAGUGAUAUAACAUUUUACAAACUGAAUUGAUAUGAAACUAUACAUUGGUCCAUGUGAUAUGUUUGUUGCAUUGAUUUGAUACCAUGUUAUUUUCAUAUAUCAUGUACAUACCGGUUUGUUGGGCUAAGAACUGCAAAGAGUAGAAUGUAUUGUGAAAGUUAUGCAAAACAGGAAAAUUAAACAUGUAGGUUGUACUCAAUACUGACCUCUCAGUGAGAAACUGUAUAUAUUGCACUAUUUUUGUAACCAUCAGCAUUGUUGUUAGUGUACGUUACUUUAAUGGUCUACAAACUUAUAGCCUCUCCUGGUAUGGAAACAUCAGCAACAGUAAAUACAGAUAUAGAUCUUUUUGCAAAAAAACAUUAGUAUUCAUAAAUUUCGGAAAAGAUGCAGGACGUGAAUUAUAUUACUUCUGCAGAUGACAAAUAACAUGAAGAAAACAAUCCAGCUUUGUCUCAUUAUCCAGAGGUGAAAUGACAGCAGGUUUGUCAUUUGUAUCAGCAGGAAACAUGUAGACCAUUAUUGUGGAGAUGCUGUUUACCGUCAUCCAAGAUGAAUAUCGUAUUGUUUAAGUCUGUGCGCGUACACUCUUACCUGUUGUAUAUAUUCUUAAGGCCCCAAUUCGGUAGUUAGUUUGCCCAUAUGUUAAUGACAUUAAUAGAAGUUAAAGGACAACCAUGUCAUGACAGAUUAACCAAUGUCAUGUGAAGCAAUUAAGUGUUUUUAGCUUCUAUUGGUUAGUGUAGUUCUGAAACUGCAGACGCACUGAGACUGAUAACAUUUUGAGAAGAAGAUAAGUGAAUGUCAAGAUCGAAGUCCGUCCUGAUCGAAGUCCGUCCUGAUCAGGGACAGUGUGGACAAACCAACUAUUUUAGGAGGGCAUUGGUGUGUUCUCAUAGUAUCAUGUAUACAUUUACCUGUUCUGUUUGGAUCCAUUCUUUUAUAUUGAGAGUAUUCAGUUUGCAUUUGGUGAGAAAUGUUUUGCAGUUAUAUGUCAGCAUUUGAGCGAACAGGAUUUGGUGUAAUCUAUAUUAAGAGCAACUAAAAUAGAAACAUGUUUGGAUGUAUUGGAAUAUAUCGUGUAUGAAAAGUGCUUUCUCCACAUUCUAUUGAAUUUACACCUGUGCAUAUUUGUUGGUGCAAAGAAAGAUAUGAGUUAUUGAAUAUUUUUGGAUUUUUAUGGUUGGGUUUAAGGAUCACAUCUUGUUUAGUGUGGAUGAGACAUUGCUUCAGUUUUUUUUUGUCAGUUCUUGGAGUAGAAUCAGUUUGGAGUGUAUGUAACAAUGGGGUUUUAACAAUGCAACACCUGAUGGUAGAAGCAAGACUGAUGAUUCUUUCAGUUUGCCAGGUGCCCAUGUGUAGAGUACAAGUGCCAUUCAUUCAUAAUAAACAAGAUGUCCUCAACUCCAUAUGUGUAUGGACUAGAUGCCAAAUAAGUUAUUCGUAAACGAGUAAAUCAAAGUUCUGAAAGUAUUUAGCAAAAUGUUUUUUUCCCUUCUUUUCAAUAAAAAAACAUUCCUUCACGA